ACUAGCUGACGAGUCCCAAAUAAGAUGAAACGAGCGUCCUGAAU
rnacentral:hammerhead_ribozyme from 1 species